UACGUAGGGUCCGAGCGUUGUCCGGAAUUAUUGGGCGUAAAGAGUUUGUAGGCGGUCUGGCGCGUCUGCUGUGAAAACCCGGGGCUCAACCCCGGACUUGCAGUGGGUACGGGCAGACUAGAGUGUGGUAGGGGAGACUGGAAUUCCUGGUGUAGCGGUGAAAUGCGCAGAUAUCAGGAGGAACACCGAUGGCGAAGGCAGGUCUCUGGGCCGCUACUGACGCUGAGAAGCGAAAGCGUGGGGAGCGAACAGG
rnacentral:rRNA from 1 species